rfam:Asian citrus Psyllid, Diaphorina citri - Florida Strain, whole genome shotgun sequence.
GCCUAGUUAGCUUAUAGUUGGUAGUGCGUCUGCCUUGUAAGCGCUAGGCCGUGGGUUCGAUUCCCGCCCGGGGCG